rnacentral:tRNA from 1 species
CAAACGUCGUCUGAAGAAACGGCGGUGCGCCAGAACCUGAUGCAAGAAGCGCUGACCGCUUAUGUGAACCUCCUGC